ensembl:lncRNA
UUUUUUCACUUUUUUUUCAAACAAUUUUUCUAAAUUAGAUUUCUUUACUCAAUCGAGCAGCUUUCAAUGGAACUCAUUCGCCUGGAACAAAGAGUUCAGAUUCAACCGGUGAAUGCUCUGUUCCCAGGAUUAUCCAGUCUCGCAGUUUCACUGCUAUUUAUAGGAGAUGUUGCUGCUAAAUUUUUAAAAGGACAUUUUUCAGUGUUGAGCAAAACAUCGUUCCAUUUACCUGGAGCCGUUGUGGUGGUUUAGAGGGAGAGACUCACCAAACCCAUCACACUAACAUGUUUUAAUCAUCUUUUGACGAAAGCAUAUUUAUAACACUGUUAUAGCUGGAAGCUGUGAGAAUAGACAAUAUCCGUUUUUUACAUCUCCGACGGUUCUUGAACGCACAAUGUCAGACAAAUCGUCAGUUAAAUAUACCAAAUUGAAACUUAACGUGUGUGUGACUAUUUUUUUUACACGUCAAAUGUAUAAUAAUUAACCCUUUGAACCUGUAAAUAAAAUUAAUCCAUUCAUUUCUGUGCUUCUCUCCACAACUGCGAUGCGGCGAGUGACUCUCCUCAAACCAACAGUUGCGUGACAUUUUUGUGACUGCCGGUCGGGAGGAAAAGGAGAGACCCAUCUGCCAAGACAAAAUCCAGCACUUCUUAGGCGCCUCCUAUCUGUGCCGACCGUGGUGAUGCACCUUUGCCUGACGCCAUCCGAUCCCACCUGCGUUCCCCUUUAAGCCUGCCGGGCCUGGAUGGAAACGUCAGGCUUUAAGAAGAAGACAACUACAAAGCAAAAGAGGCUCUUUUUAAGUCUGGCGCCGGGGGCACCGUCGCUGAGCUCCUCGCCGACAUCAAACGGUUGGCAGAGGGUUCGACAACCAGCUGGUGCAGAUGGCCGGACUCAAACGGGACGUUCUAAUGAGAAGCGGGUAGCGCAUCAGUAGUCUGGGCAGGGUGGCAGCGGCCAGGAGGCGACACACACACACACACGCACACGCAUGCGGCUCGACAGCAGAAAAGUGUGUGUGUGUGUGCCACUUUAGGAGUGAGGAGGGGGGAGUAAGAAACCAAGAUGGACUCCUGACGACUCACUUUGUGCGGCCAUAUUCACGACGUCGCAGGUCGCUGCUGCCACCUGGUGGGGCGGUUGCGUAGACACGUCCCUGCUGCGGGGGACGGGGAGGAUCCGUGAACAUGUCCCCAUGGUGGACUACUGAGCAGGUUCUGGUUACAGGUGGUAUGUUUCGUUGCAGGUGAAGGCCUCAUUGGAGGGUCCUUGAGCCUGUGUGUCCGUCACUGCAGGGACUAAAAGUCAGGACGUCUCUGUGAACUCUGACCCUUUGUUCUUUAAAUGUCCUUAUGGACAAAAUACACGAGGUGACCCCUAUAGCUUAUUAACUUCUAACUAACUGACUUAUAGGCAUUGUGUGUCUCUGCAACUCAGCUAAAUAUGGAUUCCAAAGUUGAUUGUUCUGUUUUUGGAGAAUCCAAUGCAGUUUGAGGAUCCCGUCGCAUGGAACCUCUCCGGUGGGUGAACGUGAUGUUGGGGGAGUUAAAGUGAAGCAGAACGUUGUUUGCAGCGAGUCUCCAGCAGAGGUCUGUGUUCUGCAGGAGAUGUCCCUUUCUAUCCCCAAGCCAUCGAUGCAGGACG